CGUAGGGUGCGAGCGUUAAUCGGAAUUACUGGGCGUAAAGCGUGCGCAGGCGGUUUUUUAAGACAGGCGUGAAAUCCCCGGGCUCAACCUGGGAACUGCGCUUGUGACUGGAAGGCUAGAGUACGGCAGAGGGGGGUGGAAUUCCACGUGUAGCAGUGAAAUGCGUAGAGAUGUGGAGGAACACCAAUGGCGAAGGCAGCCCCCUGGGUCGAUACUGACGCUCAUGCACGAAAGCGUGGGUAGCAAACAGGAUUAGAUACCCUGGUAGUCCACGCCCUAAACGAUGUCAACUAGGUGUUGGAUGGGUAAAACCAUUUAGUACCGGAGCUAACGCGUGAAGUUGACCGCCUGGGAAGUACGGCCGCAAGGUUA
rnacentral:rRNA from 1 species